CAAACCAAAGGCAAUGCAAGUUACAGGACUGAGAUUACAUUUGCAAAGCUUAGCUGUCCAGUGAGCUCCAACAGUCUGCCUUUGCGACCCUGGAGCCGGUGCAGCUUGGGGACACUGA